rnacentral:rRNA from 1 species
GCACGGGUGCGUAACACGUAUGUAAUCUGCCCAUCACUGGAGGAUAGCCCGGAGAAAUCCGGAUUAAUACUCCAUAAUAAAAGACAAAGCAUUUUGUUUUUUUGAAAGCUCCGGCGGUGAUGGAUGAACAUGCGACUGAUUAGUUUGUUGGUGAGGUAACGGCUCACCAAGACUUCGAUCAGUAGGGGUACUGAGAGGUUAAACCCCCACACUGGUACUGAGACACGGACCAG